rnacentral:rRNA from 1 species
GACGUAGGUGGCGAACGUUAUCCGGAAUUACUGGGCGUAAAGCGUGCGCAGGCGGUUCGCUAAGACCGAUGUGAAAUCCCCGGGCUUAACCUGGGAACUGCAUUGGUGACUGGCGGGCUAGAGUAUGGCAGAGGGGGGUAGAAUUCCACGUGUAGCAGUGAAAUGCGUAGAGAUGUGGAGGAAUACCGAUGGCGAAGGCAGCCCCCUGGGCCAAUACUGACGCUCAUGCACGAAAGCGUGGGGAGCAAACAGG